rnacentral:lncRNA from 1 species
AGAGGAUCAGGCUGACAUCUUCAGGAGGCAUAUGGAGGUAAUGGUUAACUUUGCUACAGUGAAGACCAAGGUAAAUUGGGUGCACUGAAGAGAAAAACCUGACCACUUCUGCAGCUGUGCAUCUGGAGUCUGAAGAAUUCCAAAUGUGCUACCAUCCAUGUAGUUUUACUUGAAAAACCCCCUUGGAAAUUAACAAUAAGGCACUGACUGGAGCUGAAUUUGCAAAUGUUUUAGGAAGAAACUUUAUCUCAGACUACCCUUGAUGUAUCAAAAUAUUUAAAGCAAUUGGCAAAGGCAGUGAGCAAUUCACUCUCAGGCACAUGAAUAUCACCGGGAGAGGGCUGAAUGUUCAGACCAUAUGAUGUCCUGAAAAUUCUUCCACAAUAUUUAACCAACACUUUCCAGAAAAACUUCAUUUAUCUCCAUGUACCAAUAUUUUGGGGUCCAGCCCAAUUCCUGUCCCUUCAGUGAAGCCUUAUUUAAUUUUACCAAUAAAUAAUAGCUCUCUUUUUU